CGAUACAAGUGCGUGUGUGUUUGUGUAAGGUUGUGUUACACGUGUGGGUUUGGGAAAGGGGGUGCUCUAACUGUUAGCACCCUCUUCACCUCAUCCAUUUUUUUCAUACAUUCUUAAAAAAGUAAAUUAUCUAGACUUAGAUUAUAAGGUUUAUGUCUAUCUUUCAAAAUGUCAACUUGGAUUUGGAUUUUUUUCCGGCUAAAAAUGGUCCGUAGCUUUUAUCAGGAUCGGUUUUGUUUUUAUCGGACGAAACUGUACGUCAUGUUUGACGUCAUCAGCUGUAACAGAAAUUGAGAGGAAAAAGGAUUUAUCAAGUCUCUGUUAAAACUGGAACUCGGUAUCACAUCUGACUCGCACUUCUGAAAUGGAUCAAAUCGGACUUUGUCAUCGAGACUCGGAGGAACCCAGCUGCCUAAAUUAUAAUGCCAGUGGAACACAAAACAGAAAAGAUACUUGUAUGCAAGACAUGGAGAAAAGAGCAGACUACAGCCUCUAUAUACCAUUCCUUGGUGCCUCCUUGAAUUGAUGUUUUUCAGGAUAACCAUGCAGGAAUAAAGGUUAACUCAGUAUAAAGUCUUGCUGACAUGAACAUGAUAAUCACAGAAAGUGAAUAUAUUUCAUCACCUUAAGCAAUCUUCAAAAUACCAGAUUGGAAAAAGAAAGAAGAUUUGUAGCAUUGUAUUGAAUAUGCCUGAUUAAAAGUAUUAAUGGAUGAA